UAAGGAAUAUUGGUCAAUGGAGGCAACUCUGAACCAGCCAUGCCGCGUGCAGGAAGAAGGCCCUAUGGGUCGUAAACUGCUUUUUGAACAAGAGAAAACCCCGGUACGUGUACUGGGUUGAUAGUAUUGUUAGAAUAAGCAUCGGCUAACUUCGUGCCAGCAGCCGCGGUAAGACGAAGGAUGCAAGCGUUAUCCGGAUUCAUUGGGUUUAAAGGGUGCGUAGGCGGACUGAUAAGUCAGUGGUGAAAUCUCUCGGCUUAACCGAGAAACUGCCAUUGAUACUGUUAGUCUAGAGUACAGAUGAUGUGGGCGGAAUAUGACAUGUAGUGGUGAAAUACUUAGACAUGUCAUAGAACACCGAUUGCGAAGGCAGCUCACAAAACUGUAACUGACGCUGAGGCACGAAAGUGCGGGGAUCAAACAGGAUUAGAUACCCAAGUAGUCCCUGAGCGGGCUGGCAAGGCGCAU
rnacentral:rRNA from 1 species